CUGGUGCUUGCUGGCUGUAACAGCAACUCCAUGUGGAAGUUGCCUGUGUUCCAGUGGAGAUGCUGUUACCUGCAGAGAGUUACCCC
rnacentral:pre_miRNA from 1 species